rnacentral:rRNA from 1 species
CCUACGUGAGGCAGCAGUGAGGAAUAUUGGUCAAUGGGCUUACGCCUGAACCAGCCAAGUCGCGUGAGGGAAGACUGCCCUAUGGGUUGUAAACCUCUUUUGUCAGGGAGCAACGCCGGCUACGUGUAGCCGGACUGAGAGUACCUGAAGAAAAAGCAUCGGCUAACUCCGUGCCAGCAGCCGCGGUCAUACGGAGGAUGCGAGCGUUAUCCGGAUUUAUUGGGUUUAAAGGGUGCGUAGGCGGAAUGCCAAGUCAGCGGUAAAAUCGCGGGGCUCAACCUCGCUCCGCCGUUGAAACUGGCGUUCUUGAGUGGGCGAGAAGUACGCGGAAUGCGUGGUGUAGCGGUGAAAUGCAUAGAUAUCACGCAGAACUCCGAUUGCGAAGGCAGCAUACCGGCGCCCAACUGACGCUGAAGCACGAAAGCGUGGGUAUCGAACAGGAUUAGAUACCCGGGUAGUC